UCAUGUUCGCCGCCUUCUCGGUGGUUCCCGGCCAGGGCUACCAAUCUCCAUCUUGUACCAACAACGAUUUUAUAGAAAACGGCAUCACCUUCAGGAUCGUGUGGAUCUGCAUCUUCUUCGGUCCGACGCUGCUGAUCAUCCUGGCCUACUGCCACAUCUUCUUCCUGCUCAAGAACCGCAGCCUCUACCUGGUCAGCGCAGAACAACGAUCGCAGCUCAGGAGAAACAUUAACUAUGAGCACAACAUGGCAAACGCCCUGAACUUCCUGAUGCUGGAAGUUAGAUCUAAGACGGUGGCCACGACGGCACUCAUCGUCGGCACCUUCGUCAUGGGAUGGGUGCCAGCCAUGAUCAAGUACGUGCUAGUGUGCCAGAACUGUCCCGUGAGUAACCUCGACUUCCUUACUCAGCUCAUACUCGGGAUCAUCGUUAAUAGUCUUUAUACGUUGAAGGUGUUCAUCGACACCUUCAUCUACGCCCUCCGUCUGCCAGACAUCCGGAAGGCGCUGGCGACCAUGUGGGAGGCGGCGAAGAAGUGCACGAGCGGGCAGGCUGUCCCUGGCAACGACCUCUCUCGCCUCUCCUCCUCCAGGACGACCUCCAUACAGCUGUCUCUGAGUUCGUCGAGUCUCCACAGGAUCCGCCGUGGGCUGACAGCGACCCGGAAGUACGACUUUAGAAGAAGGAUCGCUGACUAGACGACCUGGUACUCGAGUCGUGGACUUCCUGCUCUCCCUUCCAAUGGCAUCGCUUGUCUUCAGGAUGGCCUCCCAGUCGCCGCUGACCUCCAGAAAGGGACCUCUGAAUGUGGAGGUCGUGGCCUUCAGCAACAACGCAAACGACGAGCUCCGCCUCCAGACGCUGGUGGAGCAGCCCCUUGACCCCAUCCUCGAGGACGACAUUGACUACGUUUAACUCCUGGGUUGUAGGGAGUCAUGGCUCAAGAGGGAGGCAGAGAGGGACUGAGGGAGGCCAAGGGAGGGACGAAAUGAAAUCCAGAUAAUUGUGACUGUGCGA
rnacentral:misc_RNA from 1 species